UUAAAUCUCGGGCCGGGUCCUGGGUGGAAUCUCCACAACAUGCACAACGAUUGGAGGAAAGCUGAGUCCGUCACGUGACGCUCACCGGGUGCGACGCCAGUCACGUGGGCGCAGCGCGGGUCACUUGCACAGAGGCCCUCAACCGUUCCACCACUUUCAGAAGAAGCUUAUGUGCUGAAGCAAAGGAGAAAUGCUGAUUGUUGUAUCACAGAGACAAUAAUGGUGACACCUACAGAUGAUGCCUGUGCAGGUCGGACACAAUGUUCAGCACAUGGAUUUGGACAGAGUGAAGCUCUAGGAUUCCCAGGACCUGUGACCACUCAGAGCCCCAGGAACAAGCCAGGGUAUGUCUUGUGGGGUCAUCACAGGCAGCCCCAUGGCCCUGCUCUUUGUGUGACUACCUCAUCUGGGACCACAUUUCCAAAGGGUGUUGAAUCUGGAAAUCUGGAAUGAUCCACAGAGGCUAGAAGGGGACAGGGUGUGUGUGUGUAUGUGUGUCACUGUCGCCAUGGAGCUUAUGUCUG